UACAGAGGUCCCAAGCGUUGUUCGGAUUCAUUGGGCGUAAAGGGUGCGUAGGCGGCGCGGUAAGUCGGGUGUGAAAUCUCGGAGCUUAACUCCGAAACUGCAUUCGAUACUGCCGUGCUUGAGGACUGGAGAGGAGACUGGAAUUUACGGUGUAGCAGUGAAAUGCGUAGAUAUCGUAAGGAAGACCAGUGGCGAAGGCGGGUCUCUGGACAGUUCCUGACACUGAGGCACGAAGGCCAGGGGAGCAAACGGG
rnacentral:rRNA from 1 species